rnacentral:rRNA from 1 species
UACAGAGGGUGCAAGCGUUGUUCGGAAUUAUUGGGCGUAAAGAGCUCGUAGGCGGCUUGCCACGUCGAUUGUGAAAGCCCGAGGCUUAACCUCGGGUCUGCAGUCGAUACGGGCUAGCUAGAGUGUGGUAGGGGAGAUCGGAAUUCCUGGUGUAGCGGUGAAAUGCGCAGAUAUCAGGAGGAACACCGGUGGCGAAGGCGGAUCUCUGGGCCAUUACUGACGCUGAGGAGCGAAAGCGUGGGGAGCGAACAGG